rnacentral:rRNA from 2 species
GCUGUCGUCAGCUCGUGUUGUGAAAUGUUGGGUUAAGUCCCGCAACGAGCGCAACCCUUAUCCUUUGUUGCCAGCGGUCCGGCCGGGAACUCAAAGGAGACUGCCAGUGAUAAACUGGAGGAAGGUGGGGAUGACGUCAAGUCAUCAUGGCCCUUACGACCAGGGCUACACACGUGCUACAAUGGCGCAUACAAAGAGAAGCGACCUCGCGAGAGCAAGCGGACCUCAUAAAGUGCGUCGUAGUCCGGAUUGGAGUCUGCAACUCGACUCCAUGAAGUCGGAAUCGCUAGUAAUCGUGGAUCAGAAUGCCACGGUGAAUACGUUCCCGGGCCUUGUACACACCGCCCGUCACACCAUGGGAGUGGGUUGCAAAAGAAGUAGGUAGCUUAACCUUCGGGAGGGCGCUUACCACUUUGUGAUUCAUGACUGGGGUGAAGUCGUAACAAGGUAACCGUAGGGGAACCUGCGGUUGGAUC